UUGGGGGCCGGCGCCGCGGCUCACUAGGCUAAUCCUCCGCCUAGCGGCGCCGGCACACCGGGUUCUAGUCCCGGUCGGGGCGCCGGAUUCUGUCCCGGUUGCCCCUCUUCCAGGCCAGCCCUCUGCUGUGGCCAGGGAGUGCAGUGGAGGAUGGCCCAGGUGCUUGGGCCCUGCACCCCAUGGGAGACCAGGAAAAGCACCUGGCUCCUAGCUCCUGCCAUCGGAUCAGCGCGGUGCGCCGGCCGCAGCGUGCUGGCCGCGGCGGCCAUUGGAGGGUGAACCAACGGCAAAA